rnacentral:lncRNA from 1 species
AUCAUCUCAGAACUCUUAGAUACUGAGGCUUUUAGUAAAUAGAUUGAUCACGUUCUCCUUUCUGUCGAUCUUCUAAAGAUUGACGUCACCUUAACAGAUUUUUCUGAAUAAGGUGGUAGUAAUGCAAAAUGCCUGAUAAGCUAAUGGGACUUCAGCUCCUUAGCAUGAGCUAUGGCUCUAGUACUGUACAAUACAGCAGGACC